UAGGGAAUAUCAGUAUUGGGCGAAAGCCUGAACUAGCAACGCCGCGUGUGCGAAGAAGGCCUUCGGGUUGUAAAGCACUUUUUGAGAGGAUGAGGAAGGACGGUACUCUCAGAAUAAGUCUCGGCUAACUACGUGCCAGCAGCCGCGGUAACACGUAGGAGGCGAACGUUAUCCGGAUUUACUGGGCGUAAAGCGCGUGUAGGUGGUUUGGUAAGUAGGGCGUGAAAGCUCCUGGCUCAACUGGGAGAGGCCGUUCUAAACUGCCGAACUAGAGGAUGGUAGAGUGAGGUGGAAUUCCGGGUGUAGCGGUGGAAUGCGCAGAUAUCCGGAGGAACACCAGUGGCGAAAGCGGCCUCCUGGACCAUUCCUGACACUCAGACGCGAAAGCUAGGGUAGCAAACGG
rnacentral:rRNA from 1 species